AAGGAUCAUUACAAGUGAGGCUACCGAACGUUGGAAACAGCGGUUAGGAGCUUACACCCACCCGUGUUUACAUACUAUUGUUGCUUUGGCGGGCCGUGGCCUCCACUGCGGGCUCUGCUCGUGUGUGCCCGCCGGAGAACCAAACUCUGAAUGUUAGUGAUGUCUGAGUACUAUCUAAUAGUUAAAACUUUCAACAACGGAUCUCUUGGUUCUGGCAUCGAUGAAGAACGCAGCGAAAUGCGAUAAGUAAUGUGAAUUGCAGAAUUCAGUGAAUCAUCGAAUCUUUGAACGCACAUUGCGCCCUGUGGUAUUCCGCAGGGCAUGCCUGUUCGAGCGUCAUUUAACCACUCACGCCUAGCGUGGUAUUGGGGCACGCGGUCUCCGCGGCCCUCAAAAUUAGUGGCGGCGCCGGUGGGCUCUAAGCGUAGUACAUACUCCCGCUAUAGAGUUCCCCCGGUGGCUCGCCAGAACCCCCAAUUUUUACAGGUUGACCUCGGAUCAGGUAGGGAUACCCGCUGAACUUAA
rnacentral:misc_RNA from 1 species